UCUUGAUGAUGACACCACUUGAAACUGAACAGCUGCUAUUUCAGUUGUUCCACUGAUGUGAUUUUCAAGACGGGACUGAUUGCAAGACAU
rnacentral:snoRNA from 1 species